UACGAAGGGGGCUAGCGUUGCUCGGAAUCACUGGGCGUAAAGCGCACGUAGGCGGCUUCUUAAGUCAGGGGUGAAAUCCUGGAGCUCAACUCCAGAACUGCCUUUGAUACUGGGAGGCUCGAGUCCGGGAGAGGUGAGUGGAACUGCGAGUGUAGAGGCGAAAUUCGUAGAUAUUCGCAAGAACACCAGUGGCGAAGGCGGCUCACUGGCCCGGUACUGACGCUGAGGUGCGAAAGCGUGGGGAGCAAACAGG
rnacentral:rRNA from 1 species